rnacentral:lncRNA from 1 species
AUCAGAGGUUAGCUCCUCUUGUGAACAAGUGAUUUCCCAGAACUAUGCAAGCAGACAGGACAUCAGUGACCUGCCCCUCCAAGACCCUGAGGAGAUAUGGUUCACUCAUGGAAGUAGCUUUUUCCAUCAAAAGGAUAAAGACAGCUCCCCUUGAACCAUCUGAAGAAAGAGACCACCUAAAAGAAGGAAGCUUUUCCUGUGAACAUUUGGAAGACCUGAGGCUCCUCCUUAGUUUUUGUUCUUUUCAGGAUAAUUUGAGCAGGUUUUCCACAGGACAGCCUUGACCUGACAUCAGGCUGAGGAGUGGGAGAUACAAAAGAUGGCUGCCUUUGAGCACUUGGCCACUGCUGUCUCUUUCACAAUGUUCCACUCUCACCUGUAGUGGACUUCUUUUCCUACUUUUAAUUGGCUCUGCAGAUCAUAUGUCUUUUCCUACCUUUAAUAAAUAUAAAACCUCUCUACCUAUAGCACUUGUCUUGACCAAUUCUUUGUUCAGGACAGAAGUAACCUAGAAUCCACCUCUGGGAGACUCCAGCACCCCA